rnacentral:rRNA from 1 species
UACGUAGGUGGCGAGCGUUGUCCGGAUUUACUGGGCGUAAAGGGAGCGUAGUCGGACUUUUAAGUGAGAUGUGAAAUACUCGGGCUCAACUUGAGUGCUGCAUUUCAAACUGGAAGUCUAGAGUGCAGGAGAGGAGAAUGGAAUUCCUAGUGUAGCGGUGAAAUGCGUAGAGAUUAGGAAGAACACCAGUGGCGAAGGCGAUUCUCUGGACUGUAACUGACGCUGAGGCUCGAAAGCGUGGGGAGCAAACAGG